UCUCUCCUUCUUAGCUGCGGGGAGUGAAAUCUAACCUGGAUGGUGCUGCCUUGAGAAAAGCUUCAUAUGUGUUGCUUAUUUGGAGAAGAAUCCAUAGUGAGCCAUGACAACAAAAUGACUAAAUGCUUUGUUGUGAUGUCAGAUGCACGUUUGGCCCUUUUUUGCCACAUUGCAUGCAGGAAGAGAUAGCAAGGAUGCAACAGCCUCCAAAUAAUCCAGCAAAGAGAAGAAAUUGUGUUGAACAACUGUAGAAGCUCUCCUACUAACUUAUA